GGAAGGAAGGGCUGCAGCUUACAGCAACAGAGUUUAGACUGUCUUUGCUUCAUCAUCUGAAGGCAAAAUUUUCCAGAUACGGCAGACGGCUCUCAGAGUACAAUAAACAGGGAAUGAGAACUAUUUACAUGGAAAUUUCUUCCUCAUGAUGCAGCGGAGAAGCCUCGGCCGCUUGAUUUUGCCAGAUGUUCCUGGGGUUACUGUAAAAGGAAAGGAGAGGCAGAGCUAAACAAGGUUCAAGAUUUAAAAGUGCCUGUGUGAAGUCACUUUUGCUGGAAACCACAGCCCGGGAGCUUCGGUGUUAUCGUGUUUUGCUAUCCAAUACACAUUACCCUGACCUUACGAGUGGAUGAAGAUACCUCAGUUGUCUGGCUUUGCCAAUUGCUUGAUUUGCGGAAUUUUAAAAGGUGAAAGGAAAGAGAAAUCCUGCCAAGAUCUGAACAUCUAAGUGGCUUAUUUUCCAGCAUCGUCAAUAGCUGCGAGCAUCAGAACUAAAUAUUCUCCCAAGGAGUGCCAUGAUAUUGAAGUCACUUUAUUAAAAACAAUUGUGUCUGCAAAACGAUCAGGCGACUCGGACGUUUGCAGCCAGAGAUGACACUGAGCAUGCUUUCAUUGCGGCCCGCAGUCUUCGAGUGGGGCAUAUUGAUUGAUGAGUGACCGCCUGCCGAUAAAUUCUCUCCUCACUCUGUUUCCCGGAUUGGGCUUCUUUAAGCAAUUUGUCACUUACCUUCAGACUUACAUGUGGGAUUUUUCACAGCAAUAGUUUUGGAAUCAUUGGAACUUGAUUUGAUUUCAUCAUUUAACAGAAACGAACAGGAUCCAAAUUAUUUUCUCAUCAUGGCUUUGAAUGUUGCCCCGGUCAGAGAUACAAAAUGGCUGACCUUGGAAGUCUGCAGACAGUUCCAGAGAGGAACGUGCUCCCGUUCUGAUGAGGAAUGCAAAUUUGCUCACCCCCCCAAAAGUUGCCAGGUCGAAAAUGGAAGAGUAAUCGCCUGCUUCGAUUCCCUAAAGGGCCGUUGUUCAAGAGAGAACUGCAAGUAUCUUCACCCUCCAACACAUUUAAAAACUCAACUCGAAAUUAACGGGAGGAACAAUUUGAUCCAGCAAAAAACUGCAGCAGCAAUGCUUGCCCAGCAGAUGCAAUUUAUGUUUCCAGGAACCCCACUUCAUCCAGUGCCCACUUUUCCUGUAGGUCCCGCAAUAGGGACAAAUACGGCGAUUAGCUUUGCUCCUUACUUAGCACCGGUAACCCCUGGAGUUGGGUUAGUCCCAACGGAAAUUCUACCCACCACACCUGUUAUUGUUCCCGGAAGUCCACCUGUCACUGUUCCGGGCUCAACUGCAACUCAGAAACUUCUCAGGACUGACAAACUGGAGGUCUGCAGGGAGUUCCAGCGAGGAAACUGUGCCCGGGGAGAGACUGACUGCCGCUUUGCACACCCCGCUGACAGCACCAUGAUCGACACAAACGACAACACCGUAACCGUUUGUAUGGAUUACAUAAAGGGGCGUUGCAUGAGGGAGAAAUGCAAAUAUUUUCACCCUCCUGCACACUUGCAGGCCAAAAUCAAAGCUGCGCAGCACCAAGCCAACCAGGCCGCGGUGGCCGCCCAGGCAGCCGCGGCCGCGGCCACAGUCAUGACUCAGUCGACUGCCAAAGCAAUGAAGCGACCUCUCGAAGCAUCUGUAGACCUGGCCUUUCCUCCUGGUGCUCUUCAUCCUUUACCAAAGAGACAAGCACUUGAAAAAAGCAACGGUGCCAGCACCGUCUUUAAUCCCAGCGUCUUGCACUACCAGCAGGCUCUCACCAGUGCACAGCUGCAGCAACACACGGCAUUCAUUCCGACAGGGUCAGUUUUGUGCAUGACACCCGCUACCAGUAUUGGUAGGUUCCAACCUUUUUUUAUUUGUCUUUUAUAUUAUGUACAAUACCUUCACUUGAUUGAGAUUUAUCUCAAAGAUCGUAGAAAUGCUGUAGGAACUGGUAGAUCUGAAGGCUUAUUUGGCUUUAGAGUUAAUGUAUAGGUUUCAAAAUGUACUUGUAUACUGAAGACAAUGACCAUCUUAAUGUGACUAGAACAACCACUGCAAGACAUAAAACCACAAGUACAAGUCUGCUUUUUAAUGAUCUGUAUUUUGUUUCUCUUUAUAGUUUAUAUGGUUUAGCAUAAGAAAAAAGAAAAAGCUUACUUUAUCAGAGAGGCAGGCUAAUUUCAUCAAUGUUUUAAAGUUUCAUGUGGUGUGCCUUUAUCUCCUCUUUGCUGUGUGUUAGAGUUAUCAGAGUUUCCCAGAAGUAUUUAUUUAAAAAAAAUUAUAAAUGGAUGUAUUUUGAAAACAAAUGUCUCAACUGCCUUGCUUUAUUAUCCUUUUUAAUUUUGUGUUGAUUUAUUUGUGAUGAGUAUUUGUACCUUACCAUUCCCUUAGAUGUUAACUUUUAAUAGUACAUACAUAAGCUAUCCCCACACAUUCCAAUGCCUUGGUACAAAAGUCUGUCUUAAGGACAUAUGGAUUAGUUCCACUUAGAGUAAAGAAAAAUAAACAUUGGCAAAAUUUGUCUGGCUGUUUCACAGUGACUGUGUUACAAUUUUACAUCAAGGCCAUGAUUUCUGCUCUACUGUUUAUUGACCCAAAUAAACCACAAUCCCCAGUAAUUCCAGUUCAAGCAGGCAGGCCCAAAUCGACCCAAAACAUUCAAUUUAACUGCAAUUAAUUCCAAGAAAAUUCUAACCCAAAUUAGGCCUACAUUAUCGAGGCUUUGAUGUUUUAGAAUGACGAUUAAAAGUGAAUAUUGCAUAGUCUUACUUCAUUUGGACAUUACAAUUUCGCGUUUUGGGGAGCACUGUUUAUUACAGGCACUGUAGACUCUGACUUGGGAACGAUCUAGUGCUGGAGGUAAAAGGGUUUAUAAAUACAUCAACCAAAGUAAUCUGCUUUGGCCUUUCUGGGAAUCACUGAUGAUAUUUUAAAACUUCCUUUAAUUGUACUUGUAAUAAGCUAUUUUCCCUUUUUUUUAUUUCUCUCCCAUAUGCUUCCUUGCUUUGCAUUGUGAUUGCAUGCCAUCUGCUGGUUUAACCCAUGAUGGCUUGCUGCUCUGAUAUUCACCAUAUGCCAAAAUGCCACUUCUGUUACCGUAACGCUACACCCUCCUGUUCAUUGCUCCCAUGGUCCCCCUCCUGAAAGUACCCAUGAUGCACAGCGCUACGUCAGCCACUGUCUCUGCGGCAACAGCUCCUGCAACAAGUGCCCCCUUCGCAGCAGCAGCCACAGCCAAUCAGAUAAUUCUGAAAUAAUCAGCAGAAAUGGAAUGGAAUGCCAAGAAUCUG